ensembl:lncRNA novel transcript
CACAGCAUGCUCUUAGCCUUCCUGAGCACCUUCCCUUUUUUCAGCCAACUGCUCGCUCGCUCACCUCCCUCCUUGGCACGAUGAGCACCUGCAGCCACCAGUUCACCUCCUCCAGAUCCAUGAAGGGCUCCUGCAGCAUCGGGGGCAGCAUCGGGGGCGGCUCCAGCCGCAUCUCCUCUGUCCUGGCCGGAGGGUCCUGCCAUGCCCCCAGCACCUACGGGGGGGCCUGUGUGUCUCCUUCUCUCGCUUCUCCUUUGGGGGAGCCUGCGGGCUGGGGGGCGGCUAUGGCGGUGGCUUCGGCAGCAGCAGCAGCUUUGCUAGUGGCUUUGGGGGAGGAUAUGGUGGUGGCCUUGGUGCUGGCUUCGGUGGUGGCUUGGGUGCUGGCUUGGGUGGUGGCUUUGCUGGUGGUGAUGGGCUUCUGGUGGGCAGUGAGAAGGUGACCAUGCAGCACCUCGGUGACCGCCUGGCCUCCUACCUAGACAAGGUGCGUGCUCUGGAGGAGGCCAACGCCGACCUGGAAGUGAAGAUCCGUGACUGGUACCAGAGGCAGCGGCCCAGUGAGAUCAAAGACUAUAGUCCCUACUUCAAGACCAUCGAGGACCUGAGGCACAAGAUCAUUGCGGCCACCAUUGAGAAUGCGCAGCCCAUUUUGCAGAUUGACAAUGCCAGGCUGGCAGCUGAUGACUUCAGGACCAAUUAGGAGCACGAGCUGGCCCUGCGGCUGACUGUGGAGGCUGGCGUCAAUGGCCUGUGCCGGGUGUUGGACGAGCUGACCCUGGCCAGGACUGACCUGGAGAUGCAGAUAGAAGGCCUGAAGGAGGAGCUGGCCUACCUGAGGAAGAACCACUAGGAGGAGAUGCUUGCUCUGCGAGGUCAGACCGGUGGAGAAGUGAACGUGGAGACGGAUGCCGCACCUGGCGUGGACCUGAGCUGCAUCCUGAAUGAGAUGCGCAACCAGUACGAGCAGAUGGCAAAGCACAACCACAGAGAUGCUGGGCCUGGUUCCUGAGCAAGACCAAGGAGCUGAACAAAAAAGUGGCCUCCAGCAGUGAACUGGUACAGAGCAGCCGCAGUGAGGUGACGGAGCUCCAGAGGGUGUUCCAGGGCCUGGAGAUGGAGCUGCAGUCCCAGCUCAGCAUAGUAUGAAGGACCCGGCACAGCAGCAGCCCCCAGGUCACCAGUAAUGGCCACCACCCCCUCAACAAGCCACAAUUUAGUUCCACCUUUCUUUUCUCAGGAUGGGACCAGAGGACUCACGGGACCUGUUAUAUAGAUAGAGAAACUAGCCCUAGAAUAGUGGGCUAGCAUUUCUCUAUAUUGUCUGGCCCAUCAGUACCCCAACUGGGAUCAAAAUCCAGGCACCUCUCAAAAAACAUGCCCAGAGACCUGGAGGGACAGGAGUGACCACCUCCAUUGACUCUUUUUCUCUCUCUCACUUGCAGAAAGCGUCCCUGGAGAACAGCCUGGAGGAAACCAAAGGCUGCCACUGCAUGCAGCUGUCCCAGAUCCAGGGACUGAUUGGCAGUGUGGAGGAGCAGCUGGCCCAGCUAUGCUGUGAGAUGGAGCAGCAGAGCCGGGAGUACCAGAUCUUGCUGGACAUGAAGACACGGCUGGAGCAGGAGAUCGCCACCUACCGCCACCUGCUGGAGGGCGAGGACGCCCACCUUUCCUCCCCACACGCAUCUGGCCAAUCCUGUUCUUCCCGAGUGGUCUUCACCUCCUCUUCGUCCUCUUCGAGCCGUCAGACCUGGCCCAUCCUCAAGGAGCAGGGCUCAUCCAGCUUCAGCCAGGGCCAGUGCUCCUAGAACUGAGCUGCCUCUACCACAGCCUCCUGCCCACCAGCUGGCCUCACCUCCUGAAGGCCUGGGUCAGGACCCUGCUCUCCCAGCGCAGUUCCCAGCUGUCUCCCUGCUCCUCUACUGGUGAUGGGCUAAUAAAGCUGACUUUCUGGUUGAUGC